rnacentral:hammerhead_ribozyme from 1 species
AUCUAGCUGAUGAGUCUCAAAUAGGACGAAAACGUGUGUCUUGAAU